CCUACGGGAGGCAGCAGUAGGGAAUAUUGCUCAAUGGGGGAAACACUGAAGCAGCAACGCCGCGUGGAGGAUGAAGGUUUUCGGAUUGUAAACUCCUUUUGUUAGAGAAGAUAAUAACGGUAUCUAACGAAUAAGCACCGGCUAACUCCGUGCCAGCAGCCGGGGUAAUACGGCGGGUGCAAGCGUUACUCGGAAGCACUGGGCGUAAAGAGGGCGUAGGCGGGGUAGCAAGUCAGAUGUGAAAUCCUAGGGGUUAACCAUAGAACUCCCUUUGAAACUGUUAGUCUAGAGUAUGGGAGGGGUAGGUGGAAUUCUUGGUGUAGUGGUAAAAUCCGUAGAGAUCAAGAGGAAUACUCAUUGCGAAGGCGACCUGCUAGAACAUAACUGACGCUGAUGCGCGAAAGCGUGGGGAGCAAACAGGAUUAGAUACCCGAGUAGUC
rnacentral:rRNA from 1 species